AAGAUUACUCCAGGACUGCCAGCUCCAGCGGACACAAAGGCUGACCUCCACAAAUGUACCUGUGCCAGUCACAGAGCCCAGGGGGCUGACCUGCAUCGCUCUAUGCUCGGAAUGCAGGGCGGAAGACUCUCCUCUAGCAUCUUUUUUCCUGUUCUGGGAAUCUAAUUCAGGGUCUCCGCCCUGGAAGACAAGCACUCUACCACCGAGCUACAGCGCACCCCCAAGUAUUUAUUAAGUCCUCAGUUGCGAGUUUGCAACUAACAACACGGAAAAAUCCCUGCCCUUGCUGAGCUUCCGCUCUAAGUGAAGAAAGACAGUGACAAACAGGAGGCGGAAGUAAAUGAUACAGGUCAAGGCCUUAAAGCUGUUGAAAACACAUCACAGAACUUUUAAGUUACUCCGCCGAGACCAUAUAACCCAGUAGCGGAGUCUGUGGUUUCAGAAUCUGAACCGGUCCAGACAGUCGUAAAGAAAAAGAAGCCAAAGCUGAGCGAACAGCGCCUUGGAUGGCCAGUCUCUGCAAAUAUGAGCACAGCUCUCCCUCUAGUGGCAAUAUUCUGCAAUGCAGGACAGGCUAAAGGACUGCGGGAGCAGCCCACAAUCUCAUUCUGGGAGACAAGGGCACGUUUCCAUCCUUCCAGAACAUUGAAGUCCGGGCCGCUGGUCCACUCAGAGCCCCUUCCCUGGCUGUGACUGAGCAGUGCCAGCCCCAGGGAGCUUCGCUGGUCCCCUGUGUGCUUUACUCUGUAAAAACUUGGUCUCUGUCCUCAAGGCUUCACUUUGUGACAUACUGGGAGCCUUCAGAUGUCCUGUGCCAGGCCAUGCCUCCGAGCAAAUGACUGUGUUUAUACUUGUGAGGGACAGAGCUUAGAGAACAGAGCUGGACUCUCAGAGCCUAGAGGUCCUGAUGUCACCUCCAACCGACUCUGCCCUCUGGGCCAUAUCCCCAGGUACAAACCUCAGACCUCCUGAAGGCUCACCCAUCACCAUACCCACUUGGAUCUCUAAGUCAGCUGCUCCCUCACCGUUCCUGCCCUCUAUCUGUCCCAUUGCUUGUCCAGUUCCUGCAACAUGACAACCCUUUGACCUCACAGAGACACUCACCAGGACCAUUUCACGUUCUCACUGCCCGGCAGCCUGGCAGCCACCCCUACCCACCUCAUUCGUUCUGGGCUCCACUCUCCAUCACAGGACUGAUACUUGCUCACCCACCUCUCCCACUGGGCUCUGCCGGGGACAGCCAUGUCCCAAGCAGCCAUGUCCCUUUACCUCCAGAAGCCUGUCUAGAAGGGGAGACUCAUUGUUGCCUCUGUCUUUCCUGCUCCCUCUGAACAUUGCUACCCCAGUCCCCCUCUGCACGAGUCUCCAGAGGGUCUCACUUCACUUCAAGUUGGCUCAAGGUGAUGUCUAUGUGGUAUCCAUCAACCCAACGCUGCGAGACACUGCAUGGCUGACUCUUCAACUUCUCUUCUCUCCUCAAGGCAUGGCUCUUGCCUCACUGAGAGGACAUGGGGAUCAGGGUCAUCCACUGACUCCCGCUACCCAGCCACGCACCCAGCAGCCGCGCUGAAAAUCGGUAUGGAGCUUCCCUCAAAACCUGACAGCACUAUGACACGAUAUAGCAAAGGAAGCUCGGUCAGUACAGGAAAGAGACACCUGUAGAGCCGCAUGUAUCACUGCGCUACACA